AUUGAACGCUGGCGGCAGGCUUAACACAUGCAAGUCGAGCGGAGAUGAGGUGCUUGCACCUUAUCUUAGUGGCGGACGGGUGAGUAAUGCUUAGGAAUCUGCCUAUUAGUGGGGGACAACAUUCCGAAAGGAAUGCUAAUACCGCAUACGCCCUACGGGGGAAAGCAGGGGAUCGCAAGACCUCGCGCCGAUGGAUGAGCCGAAACCGGAUUAGCUAGUUGGUAGGGUAACGGCCUACCAAGGCGACGAUCCGUAGCUGGUCUGAGAGGACGACCAGCCACACUGGGACUGAGACACGGCCCAGACUCCUACGGGAGGCAGCAGUGGGGAAUAUUGGACAAUGGGGGCAACCCUGAUCCAGCGACGCCGCGUGUGUGAAGAAGGCCUGCGGGUUGUAAAGCACUUUUAGUGGGGAUAAAAAGCUCAGGGUUAAUACCUCUGGGUCUUGAUCUAACCCACAGAAAAAGCACCGGCUAACUCUGUGCCAGCCGCCGCGGUAAAAC
rnacentral:rRNA from 1 species